CAGUCUCUGAUGUGCUGUUGACUGCAGCUGGAAAAUCGACUGAAGCAAGAGGAUCAUGUGAUUGAAGUUCAAAGUGCAAGCAUGAGAUAAUCAUAGAGAAAACGGAAAUGAAAACUAGUGAGCAGGAACAGCAGUCAUGGGAGUUGUCCAGGUGAAGAAGGAGCAACUACGUGACCUUUGAGGCAUGUGACUCCCAUUGGCAAUUAUCCAGGCACACUGAUGGCUAUAAUGUAGAUGCUGUGAUG
rnacentral:lncRNA from 1 species